AGUGUGAAUAAAAAAAGAUUAUAAAAAUAUUUACAAACUCUAUUCCAUUGUAAGGGCAAUGCAGUGCAGAAAUUCACAGUGAGUGCCUUAUUUAGUUGUGGUACAAAAAACUGUAUAAUACUAGAUAGUAUCACAAAGGCAAUAGAGAGAACCAUUUUUAUAGAAUGUCCGUGAAAAACAAAAUGGCAGCAGAGCUUCCAGAAAAUUGUCAAUUGUGCACCAUCUAAAUCUAUAU